rnacentral:rRNA from 1 species
UGCAGUCGAGCGGACAGAUGGGAGCUUGCUCCCUGAUGUUAGCGGCGGACGGGUGAGUAACACGUGGGUAACCUGCCUGUAAGACUGGGAUAACUCCGGGAAACCGGGGCUAAUACCGGAUGGUUGUUUGAACCGCAUGGUUCAAACAUAAAAGGUGGCUUCGGCUACCACUUACAGAUGGACCCGCGGCGCAUUAGCUAGUUGGUGAGGUAACGGCUCACCAAGGCAACGAUGCGUAGCCGACCUGAGAGGGUGAUCGGCCACACUGGGACUGAGACACGGCCCAGACUCCUACGGGAGGCAGCAGUAGGGAAUCUUCCGCAAUGGACGAAAGUCUGACGGAGCAACGCCGCGUGAGUGAUGAAGGUUUUCGGAUCGUAAAGCUCUGUUGUUAGGGAAGAACAAGUACCGUUCGAAUAGGGCGGUACCUUGACGGUACCUAACCAGAAAGCCACGGCUAACUACGUGCCAGCAGCCGCGGUAAUACGUAGGUGGCAAGCGUUGUCCGGAAUUAUUGGGCGUAAAGGGCUCGCAGGCGGUUUCUUAAGUCUGAUGUGAAAGCCCCCGGCUCAACCGGGGAGGGUCAUUGGAAACUGGGGAACUUGAGUGCAGAAGAGGAGAGUGGAAUUCCACGUGUAGCGGUGAAAUGCGUAGAGAUGUGGAGGAACACCAGUGGCGAAGGCGACUCUCUGGUCUGUAACUGACGCUGAGGAGCGAAAGCGUGGGGAGCGAACAGGAUUAGAUACCCUGGUAGUCCACGCCGUAAACGAUGAGUGCUAAGUGUUAGGGGGUUUCCGCCCCUUAGUGCUGCAGCUAACGCAUUAAGCACUCCGCCUGGGGAGUACGGUCGCAAGACUGAAACUCAAAGGAAUUGACGGGGGCCCGCACAAGCGGUGGAGCAUGUGGUUUAAUUCGAAGCAACGCGAAGAACCUUACCAGGUCUUGACAUCCUCUGACAAUCCUAGAGAUAGGACGUCCCCUUCGGGGGCAGAGUGACAGGUGGUGCAUGGUUGUCGUCAGCUCGUGUCGUGAGAUGUUGGGUUAAGUCCCGCAACGAGCGCAACCCUUGAUCUUAGUUGCCAGCAUUCAGUUGGGCACUCUAAGGUGACUGCCGGUGACAAACCGGAGGAAGGUGGGGAUGACGUCAAAUCAUCAUGCCCCUUAUGACCUGGGCUACACACGUGCUACAAUGGACAGAACAAAGGGCAGCGAAACCGCGAGGUUAAGCCAAUCCCACAAAUCUGUUCUCAGUUCGGAUCGCAGUCUGCAACUCGACUGCGNGAAGCNGGAAUCGCUAGUAANCGNNGNUCANC